ACUACGGGAGGCAGCAGUGAGGAAUAUUGGUCAAUGGCCGGAAGGCUGAACCAGCCAAGCCGCGUGAAGGACGAAGGUGCCAAGCAUUGUAAACUUCUUUUGUCAAGGGACAAAAUCAGGCUCGAGAGCCUGACCGAGGGUACUUGAAGAAAAAGCAUCGGCUAACUCCGUGCCAGCAGCGGCGGUAAUACGGGGGAUGAGAGCGUUAACCGGAUUUAUUGGGGUUAAAGGGCGCGUAGGCGGGCUGUUAAGUCAGCGGGAAAAGCCCGGGGCUCAACCCCGGCGGGCGGUUGAAACUGGCUGUCUUGAGAGGACGAGAGGUAUGCGGAAUGCGCAGUGUAGCGGUGAAAUGCUUAGAUAUUGCGAAGAACUCCGAUUGCGAAGGCAGCAUACCGGCGGCGAUCUGACGCUGAGGCACGAAAGCGUGGGUAUCGAACAGGAUUAGAUACCCGAGUAGUC
rnacentral:rRNA from 1 species